rnacentral:rRNA from 1 species
UACGAAGGGGGCAAGCGUUGUUCGGAAUUACUGGGCGUAAAGGGCGCGUAGGCGGCCGAUCAAGUCAGGUGUGAAAUUCCCGGGCUCAACCUGGGGGCUGCGCUUGAUACUGAUUGGCUUGAAUGCGGGAGAGGAUAGUGGAAUUCCCAGUGUAGAGGUGAAAUUCGUAGAUAUUGGGAAGAACACCGGUGGCGAAGGCGGCCAUCUGGACCGUUUCUGACGCUGAGGCGCGAAAGCGUGGGGAGCAAACAGG